UUAAGCGAGCUGGCUGCUCUGUGGGUGUAGAAGCAAGCGUAAACGACUUCACACUGACAGGUUGAUUCAACGUCGUCGUCGUAGUCGUUCAUAAGAAUUUUAAGCAUUUUUUGUAUACAUUACACCCACGACGAGACUGCGAGAGACUUUUCAAUAUGUACAAAAAUGGUAGAAGAAUUUUUUCAAAAUGGAAUUUUCACAAAAUUUAAAAAUACAUUAAUCUCCAAAUAUCGAAACAAAAAUGAAAUUUCAUGUGGCCACACUCGCUUGGGGGCACAUGCAAAUUGUUUAAACAACCAUAUUGUAUUAUUAUUAUCGGGACUACGUCAGCUUUUGUUGUUCAAUAACAAACAUACAUUUAUCUGUCGCAACAAAUCUCGCAACUUAAAACACGAGGUAUACGAAAAUAAAAAAAUGAUAAUGACAUUGAUUUUCAGAACGGAUAUACAUAAGUUAAAACAAAAACACAAAAGACUUGUAAUUUCAAUGUCAAACUGGUUUUCACUUUUAACGUGUCCUUUAACGUGUUCCUUUUUUGUCUGCCAAAAAAUUUGCAAUCAGAGAAACCUGUA